rnacentral:rRNA from 1 species
GGGUAAUUUUCCGCAAUGGGCGCAAGCCUGACGGAGCAAGACCGCGUGAGGGAAGAAGGCCUGUGGAUUGUAAACCCCUUUUGAUAGGGAAGAAGACAGUGACGGUACCUAUCGAAUCAGCCUCGGCUAACUCCGUGCCAGCAGCCGCGGUAAUACGGAGGAGGCAAGCGUUAUCCGGAAUUAUUGGGCGUAAAGAGUCCGUAGGUGGGUAACCAAGUCAGCUGUUAAAUAGUGAAGCUUAACUUCAUAGAGGCGGCUGAAACUGGUUGUCUAGAGUGUGGUAGGGGUAGAGGGAAUUUCCAGUGUAGCGGUGAAAUGCGUAGAUAUUGGAAAGAACACCGGUGGCGAAAGCGCUCUACUGGGCCUGCACUGACACUGAGGGACGAAAGCUAGGGGAGCGAAAGGGAUUAGAUACCCCUGUAGUCCUAGCCGUAAACGAUGGAUACUAGGCGUUGCCCGUAUCGACCCGGGCAGUGUCGUAGCCAACGCGUUAAGUAUCC